AACGAACGCUGGCGGCAGGCUUAACACAUGCAAGUCGAACGGGCGUAGCAAUACGUCAGUGGCAGACGGGUGAGUAACGCGUGGGAACGUACCUAUCGGUUCGGAAUAACCCGGGGAAACUCGGGCUAAUACCGGAUACGUCCGUAAGGAGAAAGAUUUAUCGCCGAUAGAUCGGCCCGCGUCGGAUUAGCUAGUUGGUGAGGUAAUGGCUCACCAAGGCGACGAUCCGUAGCUGGUCUGAGAGGAUGAUCAGCCACACUGGGACUGAGACACGGCCCAGACUCCUACGGGAGGCAGCAGUGGGGAAUAUUGGACAAUGGGCGAAAGCCUGAUCCAGCCAUGCCGCGUGAGUGGAGAAGGCCUUAGGGUUGUAAAGCUCUUUCAGCGGGGAAGAUAAUGACGGUACCCGCAGAAGAAGUCCCGGCUAACUUCGUGCCAGCAGCCGCCGUAAGAC
rnacentral:rRNA from 1 species